UACGUAGGGGUGCAAGCGUUAAUCGGAAUUACUGGGCGUAAAGCGUGCGCAGGCGGUUUUGUAAGUCUGUCGUGAAAUCCCCCGGGCUCAACCUGGGAAUUGCGAUGGAGACUGCAAGGCUAGAAUCUGGCAGAGGGGGGGUAGAAUUCCACGUGUAGCAGUGAAAUGCGUAGAGAUGUGGAGGAACACCGAUGGCGAAGGCAGCCCCCUGGGUCAAGAUUGAC
rnacentral:rRNA from 1 species